CCUACGGGAGGCUGCAGUGGGGAAUAUUGCACAAUGGGGGAAACCCUGAUGCAGCGACGCCGCGUGAGCGAUGAAGUAUUUCGGUAUGUAAAGCUCUAUCAGCAGGGAAGAAAAUGACGGUACCUGACUAAGAAGCCCCGGCUAACUACGUGCCAGCAGCCGCGGUAAUACGUAGGGGGCAAGCGUUAUCCGGAUUUACUGGGUGUAAAGGGAGUGUAGAUGGCGGUGCAAGCCAGAUGUGAAAGCCUGGGGCUCAACCCGGGGACUGCAUUUGGAACUGUGCUGCUAGAGUGUCGGAGAGGCAGGCGGAAUUCGUGGUGUAGCGGUGAAAUGCGUAGAUAUUAGGAGGAACACCGGUGGCGAAGGCAGCCUGCUGGACGAUGACUGACGUUGAGGCUCGAAAGCGUGGGGAGCAAACAGGAUUAGAUACCCCUGUAGUC
rnacentral:rRNA from 1 species